rnacentral:rRNA from 1 species
UACGUAGGGGGCUAGCGUUGUCCGGAUUUAUUGGGCGUAAAGAGCGUGUAGGCGGCCAGGUAGGUCUGCUGUGAAAACUCGAGGCUCAACCUCGAGAUGUCGGCGGAAACCAUCUGGCUAGAGUCCGGAAGAGGAGAGUGGAAUUCCUGGUGUAGCGGUGAAAUGCGCAGAUAUCAGGAAGAACACCCGUGGCGAAGGCGGCUCUCUGGGACGGUACUGACGCUGAGACGCGAAAGCGUGGGGAGCGAACAGGAUUA